GGAUGCGAUCAUACCAGCACUGAAGCACCGGAUCCCAUCAGAACUUCGUAGUUAAGCGUGCUUGGGCGAGAGUAGUACUAGGAUGGGUGACCUCCUGGGAAGUCCUCGUGUUGCAUUCC
rnacentral:rRNA from 1 species